rnacentral:rRNA from 1 species
GGCAUACGGGUAGCUGGUCUGAGAGGAUGGUCAGCCACACUGGGACUGAGACACUGCCCAGACUCCUACGGGAGGCUGCAGUCGAGAAUCAUUUGCAAUGCGCGAAAGCGUGACAAUGCGACGCUGCGUGGAGGAUGACGGCCUUAGGGUUGUAAACUCCUGUCAUUCGGGAAAAAUUGUCCUGAUAUUAAUACUAUCGGGAUUUGAUGGUACCGAAAGAGGAAGCCACGGCUAACUCUGUGCCAGCAGCCGCGGUAAUACAGAGGUGGCGAGCGUUGUUCGGAUUUACUGGGCGUAAAGAGUACGUAGGUGGUUUUGUAUGUCGGACGUGAAAGCCCACGGCCCAACCGUGGAAUUGCAUCCGAAGCUGCAGGACUAGAGUGCAGGAGGGGAGAGCGGAAUUCCUGGUGUAGCGGUGAAAUGCGUUGAUAUCAAGAAGAACACCGGUGCGAAGGCGGCUCUCUGGAAUGUUACUGACACUGAGGUACGAAAGCUGGGGGAGCGAACAGGAUUAGAUACCCUGGUAGUCCCAGCCGUAAACGGUGCACACUUGGUGUGGGAGGUAUUGACCCCUUCCGUGCCGGAGCUAACGCGUUAAGUGUGCCGCCUGGGGAGUACGGCCGCAAGGCUAAAACUCAAAGAAAUUGACGGGGGCCCGCACAAGCGGAGGAGCAUGUGGCUUAAUUCGAUGCAACGCGAAGAACCUUACCAGGGCUUGACAUCUAGCUGCAAACCCCCUGAAAGGAGGGAAUCUUUCGAAGGUGCUAGACAGGUGCUGCAUGGCUGUCGUCAGUUCGUGCCGUGAGGUGUUGGGUUAAGUCCCGCAACGAACGCAACCCCUGUGUUUAGUUGCCACCGUAGGUGAUAAAUCUGCGAGCACUCUAAACAGACUGCCCGUACAAGCGGGAGGAAGGUGGGGACGACGUCAAGUCAGUAUGGCCCUUACGCCCUGGGCUGCACACGUGCUACAAUGGUCGGUACAGAGGGAAGCAAAAUCGCGAGAUGGAGCAAAUCCCCAAAACUUGCCUCAGUUCGGAUUGGAGUCUGCAACUCGACUCCAUGAAGUUGGAUUCGCUAGUAACGGCGUAUCAGCUACGACGCCGUGAAUACGUUCCCGGGCCUUGUACACAUCGCCCGUCACAUCAUGAAAGCCGUCUGCACCCGAAGUCGCUGACCCAACCCGCAAGGGAGGGAGGUGCCGAAGGUGUGGGUGGUG